UGUUACUCAAAGUAGAGGCAAUCAAAACCACGAAACUGUUUUGCUGUUGACGUCAUGGACAGCACAUAUUAUGACAUCCUUGUUUAAUAAAAUAAACCAAAUACUGAA